UCCUCAUAAUCUGAUAUCUAACUCAUGCAAAUUCAACCAUAUAUAACAAGUUAUACAAAUGAACAUUAUUCUGUAUGCAUCACUGUCAUAAAUAGUCAUACUCACAUUAGUUUAAUUCAUGAACCUGGAAGUUGGUUAAAGUUGAAGUUCCCCAGGACUUGAGCUAAAUCAUAAGCUCUUGCCGCUACCUCUUUGUCGUCAUAAGCCCCUGAUUAUGAAAACGACAAAAAACAUCCAUUAGUAAACGAGUGAACACGUAAAGAAUUUUUUUGACUUUGCUUUGGGACAUAUAUAUAAUGUAUAGAACUACUCACCAAAUACUGUUGGAAUUUAUGAGGAACUGCCAUUAGUCCAUGAACAUUAACAUUUGUACGUUAAGACACAUCCCAUUAGCAUCAAAUGGCUGGGAUCCAAGCUACAUAUAUAGAUCCAUAUUAAGUAAUGACGACCGACUAAUAUUAUUAUCCUUGUAAAAGGCUUAGAAGCUGAAGAAGCUGAAAGAAAUAAUCCAUGGUUCCUUCCAUGGACUGCAAAGACUUGCCAUCGCAUACCUCGUCCAUGUGGUCUUCAUCGACGUCAAUCUCAUACAUCCCUUCCAAGUUGGUUUUCCCCUCCCUCUGUUGCGCUCAAUCCUCACCAUAACACCUGUUAUAGAAAUUUUGCUUAGUCAACAUAUACAACUCAUGUUUUCUUCUAUGCUCUAAUGCCCAAAUAUAGAUGGAAACUGAAGUAGCAAGAAACUCAAAGGUCAGUCAA
rnacentral:lncRNA from 1 species